CUUUUUCACUCACUAUUUUUUUAAGGUUAUGUUAGUACAUCUAUAAGGUAAUAAAGGGUCAGAGAAUGUAGCCAAGCUAAGGUAAUAAAACUCGUUACCAUUCUCAAAAAAAAAAAAAAAAAAGG